rnacentral:lncRNA from 10 species
AGUCGGAACUCCAGCGCCGGCGGCGGCGGCGGCGGCGGAGGAGGAGAAAGGAAAGAGGAAGGGGGAGCGGCGAGAGGCGGAGACGGAGCCCGACAGGGGCGGCACCACGGCACGAGCCCCGCACAGUCCAGUGUGAGGGGAGCGGCGCUAAGAGCAGGCGACGCCGCCGCCGCCACCACCACCGCCAUAGAUACACUCUCAUCCUACGGGCCACGCCUGGGCCUUGCUGCCAGGAAGCUUCGGCCCCGCAGCUCGGCUUGCUGCGGUCUCAGGUAACCGAACCGCCCCUCCUCCUGCGCAGCGGGGGCCUGGACCCCAGGUUAUCCGCGGUCCCCAGCCUGUCCGCGGCCCUGCCGGUACUGAGACCCCCCACCCCUUCUCCCUCACGCGCAGCAGUGCCCUGGACCAGAGAACUAUCGAACCCGGCGUCUUGUUCUGCCAGCCCUGGUGACUCAUCCUCCAGGGGCUCUGGAGACCGGGAUUUGGGGACUGACUGAGGGAGCGACGGGUGUCACCCUUUCCCUUCUCAAGAUGGCGCCGUGGAAAGUGUACUGGAGGCCGCGGUUCCGCCUGGUCUCCGUCCUGGCAGUCCUGGGGGUCUCGGUCAAAGCAAGGUUUCUUUACCUCCAGAAAGAAGAAUAUUGGCCCCUUGAAUUCUGGAAGUUCAUUGAAGAGUCUGAAAUUAGGGACUUAUUUCAAAUUUGGACAUGGCUAGUCGAGGCGCAACAAGACCCAACGGGCCAAAUACGGGAA